UUGGUUAUGCUGAUAAGAGCGUAUGGUGGAUGCCUUGGCACUAAGAGCCGAUGAAAGACGUGAUAAGCUGCGAAAAGCUUCGGGGAGGAGCAAAUAUCCAUAGAUCCGGAGAUAUCUGAAUGGGGAAACCUAACUGAGAAAACCUCAGUUAUCCUAACGCCAAUCCAUAACGUUAGGAAGGGAACCCGGUGAACUGAAACAUCUAAGUAGCCGGAGGAAGAGAAAACAACAUGUGAUUUCCAAAGUAGCGGCGAGCGAAAUGGAAAGAGCCCAAACCGGAGUGCGUGCACUCCGGGGUUCGGACCGCGGAAUUGAUUCAACGAGUCUAGCAGAAUGGUUUUGGGAAAGCCAGCCAGAGAGGGUGAAAGCCCCGUAAGCGAAAGGUGAGUUGACAAGGCGGUAUCCAGAGUAGGUCGAGACACGAGAAACCUUGACUGAAAGAGCGGGGACCACCCCGUAAGGCUAAAUACUCCUUAGUGACCGAUAGCGCAUAGUACUGUGAAGGAAAGGUGAAAAGGACCCCGGGAGGGGAGUGAAAGAGAACCUGAAACCAUAUGUUUACAAGCUGUGGAACCGCUUUAAAUGCGGAACUGCGUACUUUUUGUAGAACGGUCCGGCGAGUUACGUCGGCUGGCGAGGUUAAGCACUAAAGGUGUGGAGCCGAAGGGAAACCAAGUCUGAAGAGGGCGAACAAAGUCAGCCGGAGUAGACCCGAAACCGGGUGAUCUAUCCAUGUCCAGGUUGAAGUUGCCGUAAAAGGCAAUGGAGGACCGAACCCACAUCCGUUGAAAAGGGUGGGGAUGAGGUGUGGAUAGGGGAGAAAUUCCAAUCGAACCCGGAGAUAGCUGGUUCUCCUCGAAAUAGCUUUAGGGCUAGCCUCAUACGAGUCUUGCGGAGGUAGAGCACUGAAUUCCUAAGGGGGCGUCAAAGCUUACCAAGGGAUAUCAAACUCCGAAUGCCGUGUAGAUGAUGUAUGGGAGUCAGACUAUCCGAGAUAAGUUGGGUAGUCGAAAGGGAAAGAGCCCAGACCUACAGCUAAGGUCCCAAAAUGUGUGUUAAGUGGAAAAGGAUGUGGGAUUUCAAAGACAACUAGGAUGUUGGCUUAGAAGCAGCCAUACAUUAAAAGAGUGCGUAAUAGCUCACUAGUCGAGAGGUCCUGCGCCGAAAAUGUCCGGGGCUAAAACACACUGCCGAAGCUUAGGAACUAAUGAAUGUUAGUUGGUAGAGGAGCAUUCUUAAAGAGAGGAAGCUGUACCGGAAGGAGCAGUGGAUUUUUAAGAAGAGAGAAUGCC
rnacentral:rRNA from 1 species